rnacentral:rRNA from 1 species
AGAGUUUGAUCCUGGCUCAGAGUGAACGCUGGCGGUAGGCCUAACACAUGCAAGUCGAACGGCAGCACAGUAAGAGCUUGCUCUUACGGGUGGCGAGUGGCGGACGGGUGAGGAAUACAUCGGAAUCUACUUUUUCGUGGGGGAUAACGUAGGGAAACUUACGCUAAUACCGCAUACGACCUACGGGUGAAAGCAGGGGAUCUUCGGACCUUGCGCGAUUGAAUGAGCCGAUGUCGGAUUAGCUAGUUGGCGGGGUAAAGGCCCACCAAGGCGACGAUCCGUAGCUGGUCUGAGAGGAUGAUCAGUCACACUGGAACUGAGACACGGUCCAGACUCCUACGGGAGGCAGCAGUGGGGAAUAUUGGACAAUGGGCGCAAGCCUGAUCCAGCCAUACCGCGUGGGUGAAGAAGGCCUUCGGGUUGUAAAGCCCUUUUGUUGGGAAAGAAAUCCAGCCGGCUAAUACCUGGUUGGGAUGACGGUACCCAAAGAAUAAGCACCGGCUAACUUCGUGCCAGCAGCCGCGGUAAUACGAAGGGUGCAAGCGUUACUCGGAAUUACUGGGCGUAAAGCGUGCGUAGGUGGUCGUUUAAGUCUGUUGUGAAAGCCCUGGGCUCAACCUGGGAACUGCAGUGGAAACUGGACGACUAGAGUGUGGUAGAGGGUAGCGGAAUUCCUGGUGUAGCAGUGAAAUGCGUAGAGAUCAGGAGGAACAUCCAUGGCGAAGGCAGCUACCUGGACCAACACUGACACUGAGGCACGAAAGCGUGGGGAGCAAACAGGAUUAGAUACCCUGGUAGUCCACGCCCUAAACGAUGCGAACUGGAUGUUGGGUGCAAUUUGGCACGCAGUAUCGAAGCUAACGCGUUAAGUUCGCCGCCUGGGGAGUACGGUCGCAAGACUGAAACUCAAAGGAAUUGACGGGGGCCCGCACAAGCGGUGGAGUAUGUGGUUAAUUCGAUGCAACGCGAAGAACCUUACCUNNNUUGACAUGUCGAGAACUUUCCAGAGAUGGAUUG